UAAACUAAAUCUACUUUAUAAAAAUUUAAUUUUCACUUAUUUCAAACUUCUACCACUAUACUAAUUUACUAUAAAUUUUAUAAUUUUUUCUAUUUAAAUACUUUAACCCCCAUUAUAUGUAUUCAUAUUAAAACUAUUUUUAUUAAAUUUAUAUUAUUAAUUUUUAAUUUUAU
rnacentral:rRNA from 1 species